rnacentral:rRNA from 1 species
UACGUAGGGUGCGAGCGUUGUCCGGAAUUACUGGGCGUAAAGAGCUCGUAGGUGGUUUGUCGCGUUGUUCGUGAAAUCUCACGGCUUAACUGUGAGUGUGCGGGCGAUACGGGCAGACUAGAGUACUGCAGGGGAGACUGGAAUUCCUGGUGUAGCGGUGGAAUGCGCAGAUAUCAGGAGGAACACCGGUGGCGAAGGCGGUUCUCUGGGCCUGUACUGACGCUGAGGAGCGAAAGCGUGGGGAGCGAACAGG